GCUACCAGUUGCCAACGGGUAGAGCCGGGCACUCUGGCGGGACUGCCAGUCGACAAGAUGGAGGAAGGUGGGGAGUGACGUCAAGUCAUCAUGGCCCUUAUGUCCAGGGCGACACACGUGCUACAAUGGCCGGCACAGCGGGAAGCGAGGCAGUGAUGCCAAGCGGAUCCCUUAAAGCCGGUCUCAGUUCGGAUUGAAGUCUGCAACUCGACUUCAUGAAGCUGGAAUCGCUAGUAAUCGCAGAUCAGCCAAGCUGCGGUGAAUACGUUCCCGGGCCUU
rnacentral:rRNA from 1 species